AGAGAACUAAACAUCAUUUUUACGAAUAGCUUUACAACUAUGAUUAAGAUGGGUGAAGCUGAGAGCAAGCCAUCAAUUGAGGUUGUGGUAUGUGCUAAUUCUAUGAACAAUACUAGUGCAAACAACCACCAGUCACACCCAUCACAUUCACCAAUCUUAACCAAGAUCCAUGCUGGCUACUUUUUCAUUAGUCUUUCAUUUGGUGCACAAGCUUUGCUGUGGAAGAGUUUGAGUGAACGUAACAAGGACUCACAAACUCUAUGGCAAAGUUUUAAUUUGAUGCCACAUGUUGCAUUUCUACUACUAUGGUCUCUUUCAGUGCUCAUUGCAACUACUCUGUCUUUUCUUUACAUGCUCAAAUGCAUCUUCCACUUUGAUAUGGUGAAGGAGGAGUUUUCACACUGUAUUGGAGUGAACUACAUGUAUGCUCCUUGGAUUUCAUGGCUUCUCAUGCUUCAAUCAGCACCAAUGAUUGUUCCCAGAACUUUUCACUACCAAUUUCUCUGCUUGGCCUUUUCAUUUGCAAUAUUGCUGCUUGAUGUCAAACUCUAUGGACAAUGGUUCACAACAGAAAAGAGGUUUCUGUCAGUGGUUGCUAACCCUGUGAGCCAUGUUUCAGUUAUAGGGAACUUGGUGGCGGCUCAAGUGAUAACAGAAAUUGGUUGGAAAGAGUGUGGGAUUUCAAUGUUCUCACUUGGAAUGGUUCAUUAUUUGAUUCUGUUUGUGACACUGUAUCAACGUUUGACAAGUAGCAACCAGUUUCCCACAGUGCUGAGGCCAGCUUACUUCUUGUUUUUUGCUGCACCAAGCAUUGCAAGUUUGGCUUGGAAAUCCAUCACAGGUGGUUUUCUCAUCCCAUCAAGGAUGCUGUUCUUUCUGUCAUUGUUCCUUUUCAUGUCUCAGGCUUGCAGACCAAACUUCUUCAAGAAAUCUAUGAGAAAAUUAACAGUCACUUGGUGGGUGUGCUCAUUCCCUUUAACCUUCCUUGGUCUAGCUUGUGCUGAAUAUUCUCAAGAAGUGGAAGGUAGCAUGGCCUCUGCGUUAAUGCUGGUGAUAUGUGUUGUCUCGGUGCUGGUUUUCAUUUCUCUGAUGCUCAUCUCUGUGCUCAAAAUUGAGAGGCUGCUGCUAAAAAAAGCUCCUAUUAGUAACUCUAAAUGAAGUCUCUUUAACCCAAAAACUGGAAUUAUACCGAUAAACUGCAGAGCUAAGAGCAAAUACUCUUGUUUCCCAUGGCCAGAACGACGUCGUUCUCCAUUCAUCUCUGUUCUCAUGAACCCUAAGCUGGCAAUCACGUGUUUGCUCUCCCCUUCUACCCACUCCAUCGUACCAUUCAUCAUCUUCCGUUUCUCUUCCGCCUCCAUUCGUGCAUAACUUUUCUUUGAUUUGUCUCUUCUACGGCAGUACCAACGUCACAUAUAUCACGCGUUCCAGCCAAGAUCGACGUCACCCUGACCAGAAGAUCUGCUUUCCACGAUCUGCGGCUUCUUCUCAUGGCUUCUCCGGUGAUGGCUUUCACGUCAACCCUUCAACCAUUUCGUGGCUGGGACAGAAUUGCAGAGAAACUGAGUUUCAUGUUGGUCUUUGGAGAUUUAGUGUGGAUUGGUAUGACUCAAUGCAGGAAGAGAACUGUUCAAAAAAUGUGGAAGUCUGUGAUACAUGGCAAGUCCUUGCAGUCCUUGGCAGGUAUUGUUUUUCAAUGCAGACGCUUAAGGAUGAUUGAGGGGAGCUCAAAGUUGCAAAGCCCUCUCUCAGUCCUUCUCUCCCUUGAUUUCCUUCUAUAUGUAUAUAUGUUAUCCCAGAAGAUUUCUUAUAACUGGUGCAUGUAUUUAUGUAAACUCAUACUCACAACAUCUUUGGAAGAAAAUGAUUGUGAAUAUAACCUGAAGGAAACCAAUUCAAUGA